rnacentral:rRNA from 1 species
GACGGAGGGUGCUAGCGUUGUUCGGAAUGACUGGGCGUAAAGGGCGCGUAGGCGGCUCAAGCAGUCGGGAUGUGAAAGCCCGGGGCUCAACCCCGGAACGGCAUCCGAUACUUUUGGGCUCGAGACCGGGAGAGGAGGGUGGAAUACCCAGUGUAGAGGUGAAAUUCGUAAGAUAUUGGGUGGAACACCGGUGGCGAAGGCGGCACUCUGGGCCGGUACUGACGCUGAGGAGCGAAAGCGUGGGGAGCGAACAG